rnacentral:rRNA from 1 species
AAUCAACGCUGGCGGCGUGCCUCAGACAUGCAAGUCGAACGCGAAAGGUUCCUUCGGGAACCGAGUAGAGUGGCGCACGGGUGAGUAACACGUAGGUAAUUUGCCUUUGGGUGGGGAAUAACAGCCGGAAACGGCUGCUAAUACCGCAUAAUGCAGCGGCUCGACAUCGAGACAGUUGUUAAAGCGGGGGAUCGCAAGACCUCGCGCCUAAAGAGAAGCCUGCGGCAGAUUAGCUAGUUGGUAGGGUAAUGGCCUACCAAGGCGACGAUCUGUAACCGGCCUGAGAGGGCGGUCGGUCACACUGACACUGACAUACGGGUCAGACUCCUACGGGAGCAGCAGUCGGGAAUUUUGGGCAAUGGGCGAAAGCCUGACCCAGCAACGCCGCGUGAAGGAUGAAAUCCCUCGGGAUGUAAACUUCGCAAGAAUGGGAAGAAUAAGUGUGGGCUAAUACCCUUCAUGAUGACGGUACCAUUUGUAAGCUCCGGCUAACUUCGUGCCAG